AAACGGGGAUAAUAAUCCCUGCCCAUCCCCUACUUUUCAGUGAUGUUGCCAGGAUGUAAGGACCUAAAUGAAAUGAAAAGCUACCGGCUGCCAAAUGGCAAAAUGGAAUGAUCUGAUUCAUAAUUUUCUCUUUUCUCUUGGUAGAAUGCUACUCUGGCUCUUGCCCAGAGAACUGGGCGUGGAACAGAGGAAAUUGUUAUUAUAUUUCUACAGAAGCCAAAACUUGGCUAGAGAGUCAAACCGCCUGUAGAAGCAUGAAUUCCAGUCUCCUGAAGAUAGAAGACAGGGAGGAGUUACAAGACUUUCUGAAACUUUUGAAGUCUUUUUACUGGACUGGAUUGUCUCGGCGUGGCCCUGAUGAACCCUGGCUGUGGCUGGAUGGAUCUGGUCUCUCCCAUGACUUGUCUGUGCAAAAUGUUUUCCCUUGGGGAAACUGUGUGUUUUAUGGAUUGGAAGGUGAAUUUACAUCUGAAAACUGUACCUACUCAACAUUUUAUAUUUGUGAGCUAAGAGCUACAUAGGCUUAAAAAUGCUCAACUAGGAAUAAUGUCAUUAUACAUUCCCAUUUAAGGGUUUCCUAUAACAACCCUGGUGUCUCUUGGAAUGUUUGUGUUGUAGAAUCAUAUGCUGGUCAGUAGUUAUUACUUUAUAGAAAUAAGAGAAAAAGAAGUAUUCACAUGGAGCAACUGACUUGAUCUGUCAAAUUAGUCACAGUUGGAGUUAUUGUCCAGCUAAUGAAAGCUCUCACCACAUGUCUGUCAUCGGUAUCUUUGUUCAUGAAAAAAUUAUGUAAGCUAUUAUUAUCUCAAUUCUCUAGGUCUCAGUUACUUUAUAUGUAAAAUGGGGAUGAGAGUUUGAGCCCCAUGCGGGACAGGGACUGUGUCCCUUUCUAGACUGUGAGCCCAAAGUGGGUUGGGAAUUGUCUCUCUGUUGGUGAAUUGUACUUUCCAAGGGCUUAGUACAGUGUUCUGUAUGAUUGAAUUAUGUAUGAUUGAAUUAUUGAAUUAUAAUAAACAGUAAAAUGGACAACUUUA